GUGCUCACAUCGGCAGCUCAUAUACUGAAAAACUGGGACGAUACGGAGAAGAUUAACGUGGCCCCUGAGCAAGGGUGACACGCAAAUUCGUGAAGCGUCCCGUUAAAAAUAGAU
ensembl:snRNA U6 U6 spliceosomal RNA